rnacentral:rRNA from 1 species
GAUGAACGCUGGCGGCGUGCUUAACACAUGCAAGUCGAACGGAAAGGCCUCAGCUUGCUGGGGUACUCGAGUGGCGAACGGGUGAGUAACACGUGGGUGAUCUGCCCUGCACUUUGGGAUAAGCUUGGGAAACUGGGUCUAAUACCGAAUAUGACCACUUCUUGGAUGUUGUGGUGGAAAGCUUUUGCGGUGUGGGAUGAGCCUGCGGCCUAUCAGCUUGUUGGUGGGGUAAUGGCCUACCAAGGCGGCGACGGGUAUCCGGCCUGAGAGGGUGUACGGACACAUUGGGACUGAGAUACGGCCCAGACUCCUACGGGAGGCAGCAGUGGGGAAUAUUGCACAAUGGGCGCAAGCCUGAUGCAGCGACGCCGCGUGGGGGAUGACGGCCUUCGGGUUGUAAAGCGCUUUUUUGGGAGAUGAGGAAGGACAGUAUCCCAAGAACAAGGUACGGCUAACUACGUGCCAGCCGCCGCCGUAA